GCCAGCCAUAGCUCCAAGAAUACGCGGAGGAGGUGGCCCGGGUCGGCGUCGGCGCAGUCCGGCGCGGGCCACGGGCCCGCUUCCAAGUGCGUCUACGCGCCGGCCACCCAUGCGGGGUCCUUCAAGUGUCGCUUCCACCGCACCAACUCACAGGGCCACGGCCACGGCCAGGGCCAGUGAAGCCGCCAUUCUUCGCCCCCUUCACCGGUCGUGGCCAACGCGGUGCCGCGGCACCCGGCCUCGCCGUCCUCAUCCUCACGUACCGUCGCGACCCAGUGA
rnacentral:rRNA from 1 species